UACGAAGGGGGCUAGCGUUGCUCGGAAUCACUGGGCGUAAAGGGUGCGUAGGCGGCGCGGUAAGUCGGGUGUGAAAUCUCGGAGCUUAACUCCGAAACUGCAUUCGAUACUGCCGUGCUUGAGGACUGGAGAGGAGACUGGAAUUCAUGGUGUAGCAGUGAAAUGCGUAGAGAUCAUGAGGAAGACCAGUGGCGAAGGCGGGUCUCUGGACAGUUCCUGACACUGAGACACGAAGGCCAGGGGAGCAAAACGGG
rnacentral:rRNA from 1 species